GCGGCGACCGGAGAUGGCAUGCCUCCGUACAACCGCCGGCGAGCCGGCUGAUGAUGCCUACGCGUUC
rnacentral:ncRNA from 45 species